rnacentral:lncRNA from 1 species
AUUUAGGGGAGAGGAUGUCAAGAAUCUUACAGUGAGUAGCUAGCUCCUUUGACCUUUCAGCACAGAUGAAAACAGUUUCUCUUUACAGUUGCUACACAUCCAUUCUCAGCUACAUUGUAUAGUCAUGCCUUAAGUCCUUUUUUAUGGGAUGCCCAUGUCAAGUGUUCCCUCUUGGACUGAAAUGUUCUGAGCAUGCUCUCUGAAGCCUUCAGGUGGUGUCUAGAAACCAGGCUCUGACCAUCUCUUUAUGAGUCUCUGCUUUUCAUUCCUUGUCAGUCACUAGUUUUCAGCUUAGUUAUUUAGAACAUUUGAGUAUUAUGGUUCAAAUAAAAGUAUAAAUGGUAUGUGCAGUAAGGGGGCUUUGACACCAGUUUCCAGGGACUUGGGUCUUCUUUCUGCAGCAAGUGGUGGUGUUCUUAAGAGUCCCUCCAGAGGCAAUAGUGUUAUAUACAAAAGUGUUAAAACACUCUUUCAGUCUUUUUUUUUUUUUUUUUUUCUCAAUUAAAAUUUUACUGUAAGGAACUUGAGAAAUAAAUCAAAAACAUUAUUGCUGAGAGGUUAGGCAGACACAAUGUCUGUAUACCCCGGUGAGCUUCUGUAAAGUUAGAACAGGUAUUUUGAAAUGUGGAACUUCAUAUUAUAGUUUAGAUUUUCACUGUUAGGGAUAUUUUUAGGCACUUGUCCACCACAGAAAUUAAAAAAAAAAAGUGUUACAGGAUUAAAGCCAGAAAGCAACUUUAAAUCCUUUCCCAUGACUUGUAUCCUUUAUUUAAAAAAAAAAAGGCUUUAUUAUUAUAUGGUUUUGUCCAUCAGCCUUCCACUUGUUUUAGCUUAACAAUAUGUUAGGAUCUGGCCCAUAAGUUCAACUGAAAACUGUUUUUUUUUUUGUUUUUAUUUUUCCAACUAGAUACUGUGAUGUUGCCAGCUCCAUACCGUACAACAGGUUGUUUCAUUUCUUCUGAUAAGUGUUGCCAUGGAUAACAUUGGAAACAAGUUACUUUAAAAUGUGAGCACAUUUUUCGAGGAUAAAUUCAGUGAAACUUUAAUCAAAAUGAAAAUCUAUGUGCUUUUGAAUUUGACUGCCAGGGGCUUUCUCUCUGGAGGUUUCGUGACUGGCACUCCACAUGCAAGUGGAAUCCAUGUGACCCCAACAGUUACCAAACUUGAAGGUGAAGCUAGGAGCAUGGUACACAAAGAAGGGAGGUUUCACACAGGUGAAAAGACCUGUGUGUACAUGAAUCUUUUAUUGGCCUCGUUUCGUUGUUGUCUCUGAGGCCUGCCUCAGUCUGCUAACCUAGUAGCCCUGGAAGCUGCUGGCUGCUUUAGAGGUUAGUUUAAAUCUAGACUGUUCUCGGCCUCUGAGCCUUGGUGUGAAUAUGAGUAAGCUCACCCUCUCUAGUUCUUUCUGAUCUCAGGGUGGCUGGUUCAACUCAGCUGUGCUGACUCAAAUUCCUUUCCAUGCUGACUGAUUUAAUCUGGCUUCUUUCAGGUUCUUCUGAAUUGCUCUUGUUGACUGCAUAUUAACUUUGGCAGUCUGUUGUAAUCAAAUGGGUCCUUUUCCUUCUUUGGCUUGUUCUGUCUUUACCUGUCUCUACCUUGUUCUCUGCAACAUGUUUCUGUACAACUGUCCCAGUAAAACUGCCUCCUUCCUAGGACUGCUCUCUUAAGUAGCCUCCCUUUCCUCUUUCUUCUCCUGAGAGUUGGGUAGAUCUUAUUCUGCCAGAUCUUUCUCUGAUUCAUCACUUUGUCUGCCACUCAAUUAGACAUCACUUUCUAACCAGUGCUUCCUUCUACAAACUAACUUUACAAACUUCAUUGUUUGGAAUUAAAGGUCUGUGCUAAGUAAGAGCUGGGCCACACCAUAACUAGAAACAGGUACUUUUCAGUAAAUAACACAAAUGUUGGGGUUCACAGUGUCUGAACUGCUUAUCCAGGCGCGUCCCCCCAGCCUCUGGCUUACGUCUUGGUCUGUUGCUUCUUUCUUCCAGUGAUUCUGAAGCUUGAAUGUCUGUGACUCAACUUCCCCAGUUCUGUACUGGAGAAUCAUGUAAAUAGCUUCAAAAGUUCUUAGUGAAAUCCUUUUUUCCCGCUUCCCGUUUUAAGUUGAAGUCUCUGGCUCAGGCUUGUUUAAAAUUCUGUAUUGGUCACAGGAAGGUGUUGACUUUCUGGUCCUCCUGCUUCCACAUUCUGAGUGUUGGGAUUAUAGGCAUGACCUACCUAUAAGGUCCUGAAGAUUGAACGUACUGCACCAGGCAGGCUCUCUGCCAACUGAGUUUUAUAUUCUUCCCCUUAGCGAAAUCUUAAUUUGCUUUCUCUUACAAGGAAGAUUUCAUACCUUUUAUGUUUAAACUUCUACCACUUAUAUAUUCUAAAAAUACUUGAUUUCAUGUACCCAUGGACAAGAAUUGUUUCCUCUUAAGGCUCCCUCUUUAUGACUGUCUUCAUCUAAUCACCGCCCCCCCCUUUAAAAAAAAGAUAGGGUCCCACCAUGCACCUUUGGCUGGCUUGGAAUUUGCUGUGUUAGACCACCAGUCUGUCAGUAUCUCUGACCCACACCCCCGCACAGAGAAUCAUUGCUCUCUGGAGUGCUGGGAUUAAAGGCAUAUACCACUAUGCCUGGCUUCCUUUGCACUUUUUGAUUUAUCAUGUGACGGUUCUUAAGAAGAAUUGUAAAAGUUGUAUGUAACUUGAUUUUUACAACAGUGACAACAUUCUUGCACUGUACUGUUUUCCUCCCUGAGCUGUGGGCCUAUGUAACUCCAAUAACUUCAGUUAACCCACACCUUUUGGUCAGCAAAGGUGAACAUUCAGCAGGUAAAAAGUGAUAGUGUCCUUGGCCUGGAGAGACAUCUCAGUGGGCAAGAGCACUUGCUGCUCUUGCAGAGGACCAGGUUCAGCUUCCAGCACCUCCAAAUCUGUAUAUGGUAUCUCAGUGCUCUCUGUCCUAGGGAUCCAGGAUCCUGUUCUGGCCUUCUUGGCCAUUAGAUAUGCACACAGUGUACAAACAGCCAUGCAGACAAGCAUGCAUAAACAUAAAAUAAAAAUAAAUACAUAAAAAGUCAGUAAUAAUGUUUAGGAUCUGAAUUGAAUGUAUGAGGAAUGGAAGCAAGUGUGGUGCCUGAGGCCAGUGCUGUGCAGGUGAACGUGAGCGAGGUGGGACUCCAGCUCCAGGACAUCCGCCAUCUUCUGGAUUCUGUGGGCACCUGCACUCACAUUUGCUCAUGCUUGUUAGUGUGCACAGACUGACUUAAAAUUUACAACUGUCCAUUUAAGUAAUAAUACAUAAAUAUUAAUUUCACAAGUUUUAUUCUUAUAUUUGUUCCAAGAUUUUCAAUGUUUUAAUAGGUUUAUAAAAAUCAUGAUGCUACCACUAAUUAGGAACGAUUGGUUUGAUUAUAAUCUUGGUCAUUUUUGUAGCACUAUACUACCAUCUGAAACAGCUCUAAACCAUACUUUUCAAGCUCCUUAAAUUGACUUUAUAGAGUUUCAUAUGGCUAUUUCUUCAUUGUCUGGUCUUUGGAAGCCAUCAAAAAUAAAGUCAGAACAGGAAAUUUCCUGUGCUUUUCUUUAGUUACUGGAGUAUUCUGAAUUUCAUUUGCUUCUGAAAUGUUGAAAUGUGGAUAUUGUUUCAUUAUAUUACCACAAAGUGUGGAAAACUAGCAAUAACAGUAAAAGCUUUGUUUUUAUACAGUAACAUAUGUCAAGCAUCAUGUUAGCAAUUUAAACAUGGAGAGAUAAGGGCUGGUGAGAUGGCUGAGCAGGUGAAGAUGUGUGCAGCCAAGCCUACUGACCUGAGUGUGAUCCCUGGGACCUACAAGGUGGAAAGAGAGAACUGACUCUCAUGCUCCGAUUCCAUGCAUGCACCAUGUCAUCACAUACACACUCAUACAUGUCCACUCUAUCUACCCGCCUGCCUGCCUGCCUGUCCGUAAACUGUAAAUAAUAGGCGAACAUACACAGUAGUAAAAAUG